rnacentral:rRNA from 1 species
CCUACGGGAGGCAGCAGUGAGGAAUAUUGGUCAAUGGACGAGAGUCUGAACCAGCCACGUAGCGUGAAGGAUGACUGCCCUAUGGGUUGUAAACUUCUUUUAUAUGGGAAUACAAUGUUCCAUGUGUGGCAUUUUGUAUGUACCUUAUGAAUAAGGAUCGGCUAACUCCGUGCCAGCAGCCGCGGUAAUACGGAGGAUCCGAGCGUUUUCCGGAUUUAUUGGGUUUCAAGGGAGCGUAGGUGGGUUGAUAAGUCAGUUGUGAAAGUUUGCGGCUCAACCGUAAAAUUGCAGUUGAAACUGGCAGUCUUGAGUACAGUAGAGGUGGGCGGAAUUCGUGGUGUAGCGGUGAAAUGCGUAGAUAUCACGAAGAACUCCGAUUGCGAAGGCAGCUCACUGGACUGCAACUGACACUGAGGCGCGAAAGUGUGGGGAUCAAACAGGAUUAGAUACCCCAGUAGUC